AUAGUUUAGCAGAGUUUUAUCGUGCAUAAACCUUUUUCAGCAUCUUCACAUGUAACAGAGCAUCAUGCCACUGGCAUCUUAAAGGAUUUCUGGGCAGUGGAGUGUUAAACGGCCCCAGCAAGAGUGGCUCCCCCCACACGCGCUCGCUGCCUGCCGAACCAAAUUGUACUUUUAAAUCCAGGAAAGAUGAAAUGCUGCCUCCCAUGAGUGUUGCUGUCUAUCCUGCAUCUUGCCGACAUUUAUGGAAGAAGAACUCGCCUUUGCACGGCUUCCGCACGCCUGACAAGCUCUGAAAAACGCAACGAUGCCGGAAAAAAGACUGAUGCA
rnacentral:lncRNA from 1 species